CGUUAGCGGCGGACGGGUGAGUAACACGUGGGUAACCUACCUAUAAGACUGGGAUAACUUCGGGAAACCGGAGCUAAUACCGGAUAAUAUUUCGAACCGCAUGGUUCGAUAGUGAAAGAUGGUUUUGCUAUCACUUAUAGAUGGACCUGCGCCGUAUUAGCUAGUUGGUAAGGUAACGGCUUACCAAGGCGACGAUACGUAGCCGACCUGAGAGGGUGAUCGGCCACACUGGAACUGAGACACGGUCCAGACUCCUACGGAGGCAGCAGUU
rnacentral:rRNA from 1 species